UUACCGUACGCACGCCAGUUCACCGUGCACCUCUUCCGGUGACUACCAGCCAUGUUUUGAUUAAGUUUAGCAAACAUUUUCAAUCACUCUAUUUGCCGUUUACAUGUAAAUAUGGAAGAGCAUCAUUUUGUCACGGGCUCCUCGAGUUUAUUUGUUGCUCGCUAGCUAUAGUACAACACUAUCAGCAAAGGUGGCUUGUCAGAGAGCACGCCCACAAGUGGCACUCAGCGGUCGAUCAAACGUUAAUCAAGAACUGUGUUUGACCUGCAUGUUGUUUUCAAAACAACAUACAACACAUUGUUUUGUAUAUUUUCCACGCAAAAGAUGAUGGAGGUCGGCUGCUGAUCGUCUACUUGGACAUAUUUUCGAAAGAGUAAACAUUCAAUCACAAAUAAGUUACAAGGUGAAUGGCAGUCUGCUCAUUGCCAAGUGGUGGAGUGGUCGGCCAGUGGGACAAGUGGUGGAGUGGUCGGCCAGUGGGAUAAGAGGUGGAAUGGUCAGCCAGUGGGACAAGUGGUGGAGUGGUCAGCCAGUGGGAAGGUGGAGUGGUCAGCCAGUGGGACUAGUGGUUGUCUUAGAGAUGGCGCAACACGAAAAUGAAAGCUUGUACUAGCAUGCACCUGUGCUCUGGUCCUCUGCGAGCAGCAGAGGGCUCUCCAGGCAGCUAGGAGGUGCAGACCCAAAAGACUUACACCUGCCAAAAAGUCAUUUUGAAGCUUUUGCCAAGUAGCAUACCAGGAAUGUCUCGUUUCCCCUUGUAGGUCCACCUGUAACAACCACAAGGGGCAAAUUCAAGUCCAGAAAGUGAAGAGCCUGCCAAAAUGUGACUUGAACCAUAGGUGCUUCUACACCACCGGCCAGUGAACAAGCUCAGAGUAGAAGUACCUGUUGCUUAAGGCGAACUUUUCGCUGUCUGGACCAGGGUUUGCCAACUCUGUCUGUAAAGAAAAGGGACAUUGACACAAAGACUAAGAUUUGAGUUUACUGGUUUUAUUUUUAACUGUAGGCUGGAACCUUCCGCUGAAGAUUUUAGGUAGUUUGUGCACGAGCAACAAUCAUUGUUCAAACCUGGAGCGUUUACUUAAGUCAGUCCAUGCAACAGGUACAAGGUCCUUUGUCUCCACCUGGUGGACAAGACGGGAAGAAAAUAACCCUACUGAAAUUAAUUAGCCAAAUUGUGCUUGUGUGUUUCACCAAUAGAAGAAAGCAGGGGCAGCUCUGGACUUCUCUCCACUCGCAGUUUAUUGGCCUGAAAGACAUAGUAACGUUACAACCCAUCUAGCACUAGGUUUUCAGUCCUUGUUCAGCAAGCGUACGUGGAAGUAUACUUGCAAACAUCUCAUGAAGCAAGGGCUCACAGGACAGCAAGUCGGCCAUUUUGAAAGCUGCAGACAAAGAAAAAAGGUUUCUGACCAAUCAGGACUUUGGUGGCAGCGGCAUUGGCAGACGUUUGCAUGUUGGCGGAGUAUUUGCGCAUGCCGUAACCCUGCAAGUUGGGAAACUUUCCUCUAGACUGGUGACCGUUUGGUAUUUUCCAUUCUUCAGCUUGUCCCACAGCAACGUUGGAUUGGUGCGGUUUGAACCUGCUCAGAGAGCCCGAACUUGCAAUGUCUGUUGAGAGGCCGGGCUUUUUAAGAACAAUGCUCUCGCCGGCCGUGGCCACGGGGGGCCGGCGAACCACCUUGAGUGAUGAGUAGCCACCGAGAAACUGUUGGUUGUCGUAAGUGGAGACUCCACCACUACUGCCACUUUGGGCCAAGGCUUGAACACGGGAGACUUGUCUGAAUUGAUUCUGGGGAGGCUUGCCGACGUGACUCAGACUGCCGUCGUUAUCAUCUUGCACAAAGCCAACAUAAGACUCGCCUUGAGCUGCAAAAACAAAACAAAAUGCAUGUUCACUAAUCUUCAAGUUACUUGCAUACAUCUGGGAGCAUUUCUAUAAACAUUCAGGAAGUGUUUAGAGUACAUCCAGGGCUAUUUAGGUCACAGCUGCAAUUCAGCAGAUUCUAAAGAGCUAGAAUUUUUAAAUUUCUCCUCUAAUUGAUUAUUUUUAACCAAUUAACUCAAGUCUUCUAAUUAACCACCCAAAAGGCAAAUGUCAGCGUUUGCACUCACCUUCUUGAGAAGCCCACAAACAGCGAACAUGUUCUGCUCCAAGUAAGCAAAGGAGCAAGAUCCUGCACACACAAAAACACUUUAGACACUUAGAAGAUUCCCAUGUGCACAUGUUUAACUCACCCCAAAUAAAUUCCACAAGCCAUUUGUGCAGGCAGCCUGGGUCAACGCAACAAUGGCAGGACAACCGAACCCAAAGCGAUCGACUUGCUCUGUGACUGCGAGCUCUGCACAAACAAGUUGCUGCUUUCAAGCCGCCCACUCGGGUCCUAAUGGACUUGAUGGCCGUCAGGUGUGUGGGACUUCGGAUUUUCCACAAUUUGAAUUUUUACCUGUCAGUGUGGAAUAAAAAGUGAACAAGUCCUUCAUUUGUAAAUUUAGCAUGAGAGCAAAAAAUAUGGAAAAUUUUGGAAAAGAAAUCAAGAAAAAAGUUAUUACAAUGAAAAAAAAAAGUCUCCAAUUUUGGGGUUGUAAAUAUAUAAAAAUGAUUGAUAAGCAGAAUUAGGAAUAUUGAGAAUAUUAAUUUUCAAGAAGAUUUUUUUCAUGGAUAAAAAAAGAAACUACAGAGAGAGGAUUUCCUUUCCUUCCUGUUCUCAUG